AGAGUUUGAUCCUGGCUCAGGAUGAACGCUGGCGGCGUGCUUAACACAUGCAAGUCGAACGAUGAUCUCCAGCUUGCUGGGGGGAUUAGUGGCGAACGGGUGAGUAACACGUGAGUAACCUGCCCUUAACUCUGGGAUAAGCCUGGCUCACCUGGGUCUAAUACCGGAUAUGACUCCUCAUCGCAUGGUGGGGGGUGGAAAGCUUUAUUGUGGUUUUGGAUGGACUCGCGGCCUAUCAGCUUGUUGGUGAGGUAAUGGCUCACCAAGGCGACGACGGGUAGCCGGCCUGAGAGGGUGACCGGCCACACUGGGGACUGAGACACGGCCCAGACUCCUACGGGGAGGCAGCAGUGGGGAAUAUUGCACAAAUGGGGCGGCAAGCCUGAUGCAGCGACCGCCGGCGUGGAGGGGAUGACGGGCCUUCGGGUUGGAAACCUUCUUUUCAGUAAGGGAAAAAACCGAAAAGUGGACGGUACCCUGGCAGAAAAAACCGCCCGCUUGAACUAUCGUUGCCAGCAGCCCGCGGGUAAUACCUAAGGGCGGCAGCGCGUUAUCCCGGAAAUUAUUGGGGCGUAAAAGAAGCUCCGUAAGGCGGGUUUUGGUCGCUGUCCUGGCCGAGAAAACUCCCGAGGCUCCAACCUCCCGGAUCCUGUCCAUGUGUAACCGAACUGACUAAAGUUAUGGUUGAGGAGAACCUGGGAAUUCCUGGUGGUAGCGGGUGAAAUGCGCCCAGAUAUCACGGAGCAACACCGAUGACGGAAAGGCAGUUCUCUGCAGCAUUAUACUGACCGUUGAAGAAGCAAAACGCAUGUGAAGCCGACACCAGGAUUUAGAUUCCCCCUGAUGAGUUCCAUGCCGCUAAAACGUUGGGCGCACUAGGGUGUGGGGGCACAUUCCCACGUUUUUCCCGCGCCGAUAGCGUAAACGCAUUAAAGUGCCCCCGCUUGGGGAAGAUACCGGCCCGCAAAGGCUUAAAAUCUCAAAGGAAUUGACCGGGGCCCGCCCCAAGCGGCCGGAGCAUGCGGGAUUAAUUUCGAUGCCAACCGCGAAAGAACCUUUACCCAAGCCUUGACAUGGCCCGGAUUCGCCCCCAAGAAAAUGUUGGUUUCCCCUUUUGGGGCCCGGUUUCAACAGGUGGUGCAUGGUUGGUCGUUCAGGCUCCGUGUUCGUGAAGAUGUUGGGGUUAAGUCCCCGCCAACGAGCGCAACCCCUCGUUCUAUGUUGCCCAGCGCGUUAUGGCGGGGACUCAUAGGAGACUGCCGGGGUCAACUCGGAGGAAGGUGGGGACGACGUCAAAUCAUCAUGCCCCUUAUGUCUUGGGCUUCACGCAUGCUACAAUGGCCGGUACAAAGGGUUGCGAUACUGUGAGGUGGAGCUAAUCCCAAAAAGCCGGUCUCAGUUCGGAUUGGGGUCUGCAACUCGACCCCAUGAAGUCGGAGUCGCUAGUAAUCGCAGAUCAGCAACGCUGCGGUGAAUACGUUCCCGGGCCUUGUACACACCGCCCGUCAAGUCACGAAAGUUGGUACACACCCGAAGCCGGUGGCCUAACC
rnacentral:rRNA from 1 species